GUCGAACGAAGCUUGACGGAUGAUUUCUUCGGAAUGAAACCUGAUAUGACUUAGUGGCGGACGGGUGAGUAACACGUGAGCAACCUGCCUUUCAGAGGGGGAUAACGGCUGGAAACGGUCGCUAAUACCGCAUGAUGUGUUCGGAUGGCAUCAUCUGAACAUCAAAGAUUUAUCGCUGAAAGAUGGGCUCGCGUCUGAUUAGAUAGUUGGUGGGGUAACGGCCUACCAAGUCUACGAUCAGUAGCCGGACUGAGAGGUUGAACGGCCACAUUGGGACUGAGAUACGGCCCAGACUCCUACGGGAGGCAGCAGUCGGGAAUAUUGCGCAAUGGAGGAAACUCUGACGCAGUGACGCCGCGUAUAGGAAGAAGGUUUUCGGAUUGUAAACUAUUGUCGUUAGGGAAGAUACAAGACAGUACCUAAGGAGGAAGCUCCGGCUAACUACGUGCCAGCAGCCGCGGUAAUACGUAGGGAGCAAGCGUUAUCCGGAUUUAUUGGGUGUAAAGGGUGCGUAGACGGGAAACAAGUUAGUUGUGAAAUCCCUCGGCUUAACUGAGGAACUGCAACUAAAACUAUUGUUCUUGAGUGUUGGAGAGGAAAGUGGAAUUCCUAGUGUAGCGGUGAAAUGCGUAGAUAUUAGGAGGAACACCGGUGGCGAAGGCGACUUUCUGGACAAUAACUGACGUUGAGGCACGAAAGUGUGGGGAGCAAACAGGAUUAGAUACCCUGGUAGUCCACACCGUAAACGAUGGAUACUAGGUGUAGGGAAUUGAUUUCAUUUUCUGUGCCGUCGCAAACGCAAUAAGUAUCCCACCUGGGGAGUACGG
rnacentral:rRNA from 1 species